ACGCUGGCGGCAGGCCUAACACAUGCAAGUCGAGCGGUAGAGAGAAGCUUGCUUCUCUUGAGAGCGGCGGACGGGUGAGUAAUGCCUAGGAAUCUGCCUGGUAGUGGGGGAUAACGUUCGGAAACGGACGCUAAUACCGCAUACGUCCUACGGGAGAAAGCAGGGGACCUUCGGGCCUUGCGCUAUCAGAUGAGCCUAGGUCGGAUUAGCUAGUUGGUGGGGUAAUGGCUCACCAAGGCGACGAUCCGUAACUGGUCUGAGAGGAUGAUCAGUCACACUGGAACUGAGACGCGGUCCAGACUCCUACGGGAGGCAGCAGUGGGGAAUAUUGGACAAUGGGCGAAAGCCUGAUCCAGCCAUGCCGCGUGUGUGAAGAAGGUCUUCGGAUUGUAAAGCACUUUAAGUUGGGAGGAAGGGUUGUAGAUUAAUACUCUGCAAUUUUGACGUUACCGACAGAAUAAGCACCGGCUAACCCUGUGCCAGCAGCCGCGGUAAUACAGAGGGUGCAAGCGUUAAUCGGAAUUACUGGGCGUAAAGCGCGCGUAGGUGGUUAGUUAAGUUGGAUGUGAAAUCCCCGGGCUCAACCUGGGAACUGCAUUCAAAACUGACUGACUAGAGUAUGGUAGAGGGUGGUGGAAUUUCCUGUGUAGCGGUGAAAUGCGUAGAUAUAGGAAGGAACACCAGUGGCGAAGGCGACCACCUGGACUGAUACUGACACUGAGGUGCGAAAGCGUGGGGAGCAAACAGGA
rnacentral:rRNA from 1 species